GAUGAACGCUGGCGGUAUGCCUAACACAUGCAAGUCGAACGGGCUCUUUCGGGAGCUAGUGGCGGACGGGUGAGUAACGCGUGAGAAUCUGCCUUCAGGUCGGGGACAACAGAGGGAAACCUCUGCUAAUACCGGAUGUGCCUAACGGUGAAAGAUUUAUCGCCUGAAGAGGAGCUCGCGUCUGAUUAGCUAGUUGGAGAGGUAAAAGCUCACCAAGGCAACGAUCAGUAGCUGGUCUGAGAGGAUGAGCAGCCACACUGGGACUGAGACACGGCCCAGACUCCUACGGGAGGCAGCAGUGGGGAAUUUUCCGCAAUGGGCGAAAGCCUGACGGAGCAAUACCGCGUGAGGGAGGAAGGCUCUUGGGUUGUAAACCUCUUUUCUCAGGGAAGAAUAACUGACGGUACCUGAGGAAUAAGCAUCGGCUAACUCCGUGCCAGCAGCCGCGGUAAUACGGAGGAUGCAAGCGUUAUCCGGAAUUAUUGGGCGUAAAGCGUCCGCAGGUGGCCUAACAAGUCUGCUGUCAAAGACCGAAGCUUAACUUCGGGCAGGCGGUGGAAACUGUGAGGCUAGAGGCCGGUAGGGGUAGAGGGAAUUCCCAGUGUAGCGGUGAAAUGCGUAGAGAUUGGGAAGAACACCAGUGGCGAAGGCGCUCUACUGGGCCGGCACUGACACUCAGGGACGAAAGCUAGGGGAGCGAAAGGGAUUAGAUACCCCUGUAGUCCUAGCUGUAAACGAUGGAUACUAGGUGUAGCUUGUAUCGACCCAAGCUGUGCCGAAGCUAACGCGUUAAGUAUCCCGCCUGGGGAGUACGCACGCAAGUGUGAAACUCAAAGGAAUUGACGGGG
rnacentral:rRNA from 1 species